rnacentral:lncRNA from 1 species
CUGCAAGCAGUGAACUGGAGAAACAUCCAGCACUUACUGCUCUACUAUAAGGAAAGAAAUACUCUUAUCAACUGGACAUCCAUAUAGUAGCCACUGUGGAUGUUCCAUGUGCCCAAAGAGUAUGGUGUGCAGAUCAAAGUCAAGGGCAAAACUGUCUGCACGUAUAUCUGAGGGUUCUGUCCAUUUUACAAUUCAGGUGCAUUUUAGAGUCAUCCAAGCUAGUAGCUGCGUCAUAGCCCUAGCAAUGUUAUGUGUGUUCUACAAAUGAAAGAUUUACCAUUAUUUGAAAUUCUUCAUUUCAAAAAGUUUAAAUGGAUUUGAAAUCUAUUAUAACUAUCACAAGAAAUGCUAUCAUUAGAUUAUUAAUGAAAGAAAGAUCUGUAGGAUUCUUUCUAUGUAUAUAACUUCAAUAGUCCCUGCAGGGAGCCGAAGGCCCGUAGGAUGUGACCAACUCAGUAGUCCACUGGAGGAUAUGAUUAAACAGCAAACUGUUUAUCAUGAAUGCAGGAUGUGGGCAAACUCACACUGCCCUGCCACCAAAAGGUUUGCUGAGGGACAUCACUCCCUGGCACCCGGCUCCUUGAAGUUAUCUACUGAGAAAUCUAGCACCUAUUAUCCAAAGGAUGCAGUCUUGCCUGCUGUGAACCAAAUUGCUGACUGACAAUUACCCAACAAUCACACCCCCCACCCCGAUCUCUUUUGCCUAAUAAAUAUGGAGGGCUGUGUAAAUCUCAGGGCCCUUGUGCACUAGAGGCAAGGUGCCCCCCGACCCCUUCUUACAAAUAUACUCUUGUCUCUUGCCUUUGAUUCCUGUGUUCGCCCCCCUUUGUUCAGUCCACCAGGUCUGUACAGGUUACAAGUCCCAAAUUUUUGAAUGGUUGUAAAAUGUGUUUAAAUGAUUUGUCCAUGUCUGUAUAAGCAGAUUUUUAUUGAUGGUGACUAUUAAGAAUUUGAAAAUGUAAUUAAAAAGUCUUGAUAAGGAGCUGUGUGUAGCCCUUUCAAGCAUAAAAUCCAAUUUUUAAACAGAUAUAAGCUCAAGUUUCUCAUUAAAGGUUUUCAACAAUUCUUUUUUGCAAAUUUUACAUGUAUUUAGUAUCUAAAUUUCCUUCUAAACUUUGUGCUGUAUUACCUUGCAUAUGAAAACUGUUUCAAAUUUUCCCCAGGCUCCAUAUGAAAGCACUUGAAUCCCUCCAGUUUAUCUCAGUGCCUUAGACUGGAUCUUCUAGAAACAGAGAAUUCCAGGUAGAAGGUUUAUUGGAGAAUGCCCUCAGGAAAUAUACCUAAAGGAAGUGAAGAUGGAGGCAAGACUGGACAGAGGGAGAAGCUGACUCACAUUGCAGUUACAAGUGAGGCCUCAGCUUAUCCUACUUGGAGCCCUAGAGCUGAAUGAACUUCUAGAGUUGUUUUAAAUUGAGGUGAGGGACUGAGCCUGUGUAUUUAUUCCCCAUCAGCCAUUCAUUAUGCUUGCUGGCAGAGGGCAUAACCUUGAGUGAGGCACACUAUGAAAUGUCAGAAGCCUAUUUCCGCAACAGCUUGGAGAUGGAUGUGAAAUGAACUGCAGAUUCUGAGCGCAGUUUUACAAGCACAACUUGAGUCUGAGUUCUAGCUACUGCCCAGUUGUGUGACCUUGGCCAACAGGAAGAAGAGAUCAGAGGCUCUACUGGAGGAGAUCAUCAAAUAUCAAGAUAUUCUGAGAAUGACCAGAACUGAAUAUGACAGUUCCAGUCUCUUCAGAUAAUUUACAUCAGCCAAUGUCCAAAGAAGUGAAAUAACUUAUUCAAGAUAACACUGCAGGGAGUCAUUCUGCAGACGAGGAGAUGUGAAAAUCCAAGGACCUUGGGGUCAAUUUCACUCAGGCAACAGCCUGGAGAAUAUGAGCCAUAAUUUAUGGAGAUUUAAGAAUUAAUAACAAAAACAUAUCAAAUGCUAAUGACAAAUUCAGAGCUGAAAUGAAACACAAAACCAAGAAUCGGUGCUUAGCAGAAUUUGGUAUGAAGCAGAAAGAGAAAAGUAAAAUUAGCAGAUCAAGGCUUCCAGAAAGGUGGAUGCGUAUGAGGUCCCUAGCCCCAGUACCCUCACAGAAACACAGUUUAGCAACUAUUCAUAGAAAAGAAUGCCUUUGUGAGAAUUCCAAAAGUUGAGCACCCUGGUAGAGUGAAAAAAAUUGCAUUAAAAAAGAUAAAAAUAACCCUUCUUUGUCAGAAGCAAUCCUGCCCAAUCCAGCACAACACAGAGCCAAGAAAGAUCCUGUUGACCCGUGAUUUCUUCAGUGGAGUAAAGAGAGAUCAUGGUGGAUGUUGAACUUCCCCAGCAUUUCAGGGCAUUGCUCUAGAGACCCACUUAUGCCUCACCUCAUAUCACACACUGGGGAAAUUGGCAUGGCUAGACCACCUGGGAACAAUCAGGAAUAACAGAAAGAGGCAGGGGCUCUCAGCAGCCAGUGCAUACAGAUCUCAGAGGCAGUCCCACAGCCCCUGUGAGCAGCCUUGCCUGACUGUGGCCCUAACCAACAACUCCAUCAAACCAAAGAGUCAAGUCGGCUGGCUCCACCCAACUAUAGAGCUCAGAGAGCAGGCUCACAUAACCUUAGAGCCCAGGCAACCAGCCCCACCCACCUGUGAAGCCCUACCAGACAACCAUGCUCAAAAGUAAAACUUUGGUAACAGGCUCCAUUUAACCAAGAAUUCAACAGGCCCUGUUUCAACUUUGAACCCAAUGGACCUCACUCACAGGCCUCACUUGCCCACAGAUAACUGCCAUCUGGCCCACCCAGAGUCCUAAGCUAGGCUGACUAGUGAAAGUCUUUCCCUGCUAAGAACAGACUAUAAAGACUGGAAGAGAGAACCACUUCUUCAAAUGUGCAGACAUAAAUGUAAGAAUAUAAGGAUCAUGAGAAAUUAAGGAAACUUGAUAACACCAUAGGAAACUAAAAAAGUUUCAAUAAUUGACCCCAAAUAAAUGAUGAUCUACGAAGUGCCUUACAAAGAAAAAUAAUAAUCGUCUUAAAGAAGCUUAGUGAACUAUUAGGCAGACAACUAAACAAAAUUAGAGAGGCAAUACAUAAACAAAAUGAGAAGUUCAAAAAGAAAUGAAAACCAUAAAACCAAAGAAACAGAAAUCCUGGAUUUGAAGAAUACAAUAACUAAACUGAAAAAAAAUUAAUAGAGGGCUUCAACAAAUGACCCAAUUAAGCAGAAGAAAGAAGUAGUUACCUUGAAGACAGGUCAUUUAAAUUAUGUAGUCAGAGAAGCUAAAAGGAUAAAGAAUGAAAAACACCGAAGAACCCCUACAGGACAUAUGAGACACCAUCAAGUAGUUCAAUAUACACAUUAUGAGAGUCUCUGAAGGAGAAAAGAAAGAGAAGGGGAGAAAAAAGUGUUUUCAAGGUUAUGAAGAAAUUGGAAUUCUUGUACACUGUUGGUGAGAAUGUAAAAUGGUAUAGCCACUAAGAAAAACCAGUAUGUAGGUCCCUCAAAGAAAUAAAAAUAAAACUUCCGUAUGAUCCAGUAAUCCCACUUCUAGGUGUAUAUCUGAAAGAAUUGAAAUCAGGAACUUGAAAUGAUAUCUGUACUCCCAUGUUCCUUCCAGCAUUAUUCACAAUAGUUAAGGUAUGGAGUUGUUACUAUUAUAAAUGGAUAUAAAGUUACAGUUAUACAGUAUGAGUAAGUUCCAGAAUUCUGCUGUACAACAUAAUGCCUGUAGUUAACAAUAAGGUAUUGUGCACUUUAAAAGGUAGUACAAGGAUAGAGCUCAUGUUAAGUGUUCUCAUCACAAAUUUUAAAAAAAGAAACAAAAAAUAAAGUGGCACAUGGAAACUUUUGGAUGUGAUGAAUAUAUUGAUUACCUUGAUUGUGGCAAGGUAACACUGGUAUAUGCAUAUGUUUGAACUCACCAAAUUGUACACACUAUGUGCAGUUUUGUGCACCAAAUAUACCUCAAUAACUUUGGGGAAAAUUAAAUUUAUUUUUUAAAAAAGUUUAGAUCAGGUCAUGUACAAUUGCCCUAACUGGGAGAUGAUUUGUCCAUAAGCCAUUUUUAAUAUCUCAUGACUCAACAUACAGCAACAGCUAAGAUUGGCUUAAUGGUUCACCACACACUCCUUUAGAUGGUCACAGAAUUGGAAGGAACCAGAAUGAACUAUGAAUAUGAAAAUCCAUCAAUAAUUUACAAAAUAGCCUUUAAAUUCUUUAUUGCUGAUUUUAUAACUAUUUUACUUUUUAUUUUAUUUAUAAGAGAAAAUUGUGUUGAUACAUGAGGAACGUUCCUCACUAUUUGACUAUGGCUUCAUCAUAGCAUAUGUUAGUCUGCUAGUAUCAGAAAAUUUGUGUGACACCUGCAAACUAAUCAGAGUUUCUAGGUUAAAGGGUGUGUCAGACACUCUGGAUAAAGUUCUUUCUCUGGAUUAAACUAGAAAUCUCAGGACCUGUAUAUUCUAACAUCUUGUUCAGUAGGGAAAAAUGGUAUGGGUGGUGGGAAGAGGCCAUUGAGUACAACUAGUCUCAUACAACUAGAGCCAGGUUUCCUAAUGAAAAUUGCAAUGUUAGGAUGUUCUCCACUUUACUAAAAGUCAUAAGUUUUAGAAAGUUAUUUCUUUUUCGGAGUCAUAUCUUCCUCCCUGAGAGUUCCAUUCCAUUAUCCUAAAGUUUCUCUGGAACCACUCAAAGUAGCUUCACUCUCUCUGAGAGAAAACUCUUUAAUAUUUGACAGUUUUUAUCAUUGCCUUCAGUGUCUUCUGUUCUCCAAAGAAGACACAUAUAACAAUGAGGCUAAACUAACCAGCUUCAACAGAAAGGUCUUAGAAAUGAUGCCAGUAUAUUUAUUGGCUUAAUAUAGACACAAUUAUCCAUUCUGAGCAGAGAUGACAAAAUUACAUCUUUGACAGAGCAAAGUUCUUCAUAAGGGGACCACUUGUGGGCAAAUUUUGGGAUGUAUGUACCCUUGUUUAUUUUUACUUCACUUUUAUCAUAUUUUCAGAUGGACUUUAUUACUCAAAAAGACUAAGAAUAAUUGACUUGUUGAAGACUUUAUUAUAAACAUAUUGCACAGUUCUCCUUGGUCACAUUAUAAGAACAUUUGGGUAUGUCUGUGACUCAUCAGUGAUUAUCAGUGGGCAAAUGUGAACAACUACUGUGGUAUCUUCAGCAAAGUCCUGCAGCCUCACAUAAAUAAAUGAAAGGAAAAACUGGGGAAGGAAAGAAGAGAAAGCAAAGGAAAAAAGGAAGGAAG